AUUGAACGCUGGCGGCAUGCUUUACACAUGCAAGUCGAACGGUAACAGGUUAAGCUGACGAGUGGCGAACGGGUGAGUAAUGCAUCGGAACGUGCCCGGGCGUGGGGGAUAACGCAGCGAAAGCUGCGCUAAUACCGCAUACGAUCUGAGGAUGAAAGCGGGGGACCGUAAGGCCUCGCGCGAUCGGAGCGGCCGAUGGCAGAGUAGGUAGUUGGUGGGGUAAAGGACCACCAAGCCGACGAUCUGUAGCUGGUCUGAGAGGACGACCAGCCACACUGGGACUGAGACACGGCCCAGACUCCUACGGGAGGCAGCAGUGGGGAAUUUUGGACAAUGGGCGAAAGCCUGAUCCAGCAAUGCCGCGUGCAGGAAGAAGGCCUUCGGGUUGUAAACUGCUUUUGUACGGAGCGAAAAGGUCCUUUCUAAUACAAGGGGCUCAUGACGGUACCGUAAGAAUAAGCACCGGCUAACUACGUGCCAGCCGCCGCCGUAAAAC
rnacentral:rRNA from 1 species